GGGCAGUAGAGAGGGGGCGGCCCUGAAGCCCUAGUCGUUCCUCCCCAGCAACCAUCCCCAGCCUUCUGGCCGCCACCAGGUCCCCUGGAGAUGGGUGCAAGUGUGCCCAGAGCUCAGGGGAACCCAAACCUAACUCAGGAGUGCCCAGGUUGGGGGUCUCUGUCUGCCCAAUCUCUCAAAGGCCUUCAUUUUUCCUUUUUUUUAGGGCCGCACCUGCAGCAUAUGGAAGUUCCCUGGUUAAGGGUCAAAUCAGCGGCAGCUGCCAGCCUACACCAGCCACAACAAUGCUGGGAUCUGAAGCACAAGUGCCAGAUCCUUAAACAGGGAUCCUCAGAGGCCUUCUUUGACUCCCUACCCAAAAUGGGGUUCCUGGCAGGUCACCACCUGGGCCCUAUUGAUUUCUUGCACUGAACUUAGCGCGUAGACUUAGGCGUUUGUGUAUUGCAUCCAUCCUAACUAGUCUGUGACCUCCAGGAGAGCAAGACACCUGGCCCGUCUGACUUCCCUCUGCAUGCCUCGCACACAGCAGGCCUCAGCCAUUCCUGAGUGAGCAGAACGCAGGGGCAGUGCCCCCUGGCCAGGCAUGUAAGGUCCUGAGGACACAGCCAAGAACAGGACAAAGUCCCUGCUCUUAGGAUGGACCAUAUGAGCCAGUAUUCAUGGAGGACCCACUACGUUCCAGGCGCUGUCCUGGGGGCAGAGACACAGGAGGGAACAAAGCAAGGCCUUUGCUCUCCAGGAGCCUCACGGCGGCUGGAGGAGACAGGCCACACACUCAGAAAGGGCUGUGAUCAUUCCAGUUCCGGAUGUCAGAAGGCUACAGUGGGUCAUCAGAGCUGCGUUCCUUGCCUUUCCCGUUUCUGAAGGCCGCCUGCCCUCCCUGACUCAAGGCUCCUUCCUCCGCCCUCAAGGCCAGCAGCGUGGCAGCCUCGUAGCUGCGCCUCUCUCUGACCUCUGCUUCUGUCAUCCCCUCUCUUUCUCUGGCCCCCCUCCCCUCCUCCCUCUUAUAGAGGUGCUUGUGGUGCCUUAGGCCACCAGCUAAUCAGUCUCCUUAUCACAAGAGUCACACAUUUAAUCACAUCCCAAAGUCCCCUGUGCCAUAUAAGGUGACACCUGCAGGGGCUGGCACCUGGAUGUCUUUGGGAGCUGCUCUUCUGCCCACCAAGGAAGCCCAGCCUGUGAAAACCUGUGGGGGGGGGGGGAGCACCCCACAGAGGACACGUAUGCAAAGGCCCGAGGCUGGAAGGAGCUGGGCAUGUUCUCAGAACAGCAAGAAGGCCACACGGCUAGAGACCAGUGCUCCAAGCGGCUCGAUUUCAACCCAGUCAUCCACAGCCCAUCUCACCUCUGUGCGUGAACGUGGUGUGCGCUAGGACCGGAGCAGCCAGGACGGCCCCUGGAGAGCAUCCCAGGGGCACCUGAGGUCACCUCCUCCCUCCCCUUGCUUCUAGCUGCUGACCCUUGACUCGCUUAGAAGAACAAGCGCCCUGGGUGUUUGAGGACGGUGCCAGCCCGCGUGCCCACCUAGAGCUGGGGACCAGACUGACUCUGGGCGAGGGGUGGGCCUAGCCCCUGGUACCUGCGUAUAAUCCUGCUCUUUCUUCCCCUCUGCAGGCCAGGCUUGUGUGGCUGAGGGAGGAUGGGGGCAGGAAAGGCUGGACCUCUAGCCGUGGCAGCCGCCUUCAAUGGCCGUAUUGUUAGCUCUGGGCUGCGGUGGGGAGGGCGCCAGGGUCUGGCUGAAUGAGGCAUCUGUGCCUGCUAGGUCAGGGUGCCCAGGUCAGGGGCUCUCCUGGGAGAUGCCGCCCACCCCCACCUCUGCCCAGGCCCUGCCCUUUGGCUUCCUAGUGGCCCUUGUACUGACUCCUCAGGGAACACAGCUGUCACCGGCUGGCGAACUGUGCCAUGGGCAGUUGGUUGGUGGCCUUUCCCAUUAUAUGUUAAGCUCUCCAAGAAGGCUCCCAUGUCCCAGUCCCCAGCGCAGGGCUUGGAUCAAAGAAGUUGUUUGAUGAAGGAGUGCGGUCAGUGGUCGGGUGAAUGAAUGAGACUGUUGCCGUUCUGGCUUCAUCUGGUCACCUCUUCCCUGGACCAUGGCACUACCGCCUCACCAGCUUCCCUGCCUCUCACCUUUCCUCCUCCACACCGUUACUGGGGGAUCACUCGAACACCCUCUGGGCUCCUGAGACCCUCAGGACCCAGCCAAGACCCUGCCAGCCUCACCCGGUAUAUUCACCCACUAAGUCUCUUCCCUGCCCUGACAUUUCCCAGCCUGCGCGCCCUUGCACUUGAGGAUCCCUGUCUGCAGAACGCCCUUCCUCCUCUUCGCUCCACGUGGUGACUCCUACUCCUGGUUCAAGCUGCAGGUUCCUCCAGGAAGCCUGCCUCGCUACCCCCAGCCUUUUCUGGGCUCUGCAACCUCCCUGCCCCACUCUGCUUCCCACAACCUCUGCACCGAUUAUAAUUGCCCGUUAGCACCACUGUCUUCCUAGCCAGACCCUGAGCUGCUCAGGGCAGGCCCUGAGUCUGGCCCCUGCUUUCAUCCCAGCCAGGGCCCUGGACUUGGUCAGGCACAGAGCAAAUGCUCAGCAGAGCUGUAGCCUCAGCCCCACGCCAGUGGGCCCCGCCUGAGGCCCAACUAGUGGGCACCUCUACCCUCUGGUGGUCAUUUGGGAUUACUGCACUUUUUGGGUCCUAUUCCUGGGCUUCACUAGGGUAAUGGACCCUUGAACAGUGUUUCUCAGGAUGUGGCCCCCGGACCAACAGCAUCAGCAUCACCUUGGUAUUUGUUAGAAAUGAAAUUCUUGGGCUGUGCUGUAGACCUAUGGGUCAGAAACCCUGGGGG